rnacentral:rRNA from 1 species
UACGUAGGGGGCUAGCGUUGUCCGGAAUCAUUGGGCGUAAAGCGCGUGUAGGCGGCCCGGUAAGUCCGCUGUGAAAGUCGGGGGCUCAACCCUCGGAUGCCGGUGGAUACUGUCGGGCUCGAGUACGGAAGAGGCGAGUGGAAUUCCUGGUGUAGCGGUGAAAUGCGCAGAUAUCAGGAGGAACACCGGUGGCGAAGGCGGCGACCUGGUCCGUGAGCUGACGCUGAGGCGCGAAAGCGUGG